UUUAUCUCUUAUGCGACAUUCUGCAGCUUUCUGAAACACAAACAAGUGUCCAGGAACCAGAGCAGCAACGAUGCAGUUUUCAGUUUUUGUGAUGACCUCGGUGGCAUUCAUUUUUGUUAUGAGUGAUGGAGAUUCUGAUACUCAGCGGGAGCCCUGGUUCGCACAGACAGAGGGAAAAGAUGUCACGUUCAAUUGCACCUACACCGGCAAUGCUUUUUACUUGUUCUGGUACCGUCAGUACCCGGGAAGACAGCCCGAGUUUGCAGUCCGGAAGAUGGUGAGCAGUGGUGCUGAACUUAAGGCGGACUUCGCUCAGACCCGUUUUUUUGGUACACUCCAGAAAUCUGAAAACUUGUAUCGACUGACCAUUUCAGAGCUGAUCCUGUCUGACACCGCGGCCUAUUAUUGCGCAAUGAGCCUCACAGUGAGGGGAAUGAGCGAAAGCCUCGUACAAUAA